UGGAGUGGUUUGGGGGGGAGCAAUGCACAACACCCUUUACAAGGCUUCUGAGACUGCUGGGAUGAGAGAGGAGGGAAGAGAUACAUAAACUGGAAAUCUGGCCUGAAUGCUUGCAACAGAAUGGACUCUGCUGAAGGUACCCAAGGACCUAAGUGGUGCACCCAACCCAGAGAUCACUCAUGGAUACAGUCAAUGACAUUUUUGCAAUUUCAUGGAUGACCAAAACUGCUGCCAUAGUAAAAGACUAGACCCUUUGAUGAAACCUUGUGCUUUGACCAGCAUUUUAAAUUUUGUAUUUGUAUUUAAAAUUAAGUGUAUAUAAAAUAUUCAAUAUUUGCUCUA